GAUGAACGCUGGCGGCGUGCCUAAUACAUGCAAGUCGAGCGAACGGACGAGAAGCUUGCUUCUCUGAUGUUAGCGGCGGACGGGUGAGUAACACGUGGAUAACCUACCUAUAAGACUGGGAUAACUUCGGGAAACCGGAGCUAAUACCGAAUGAUAUUUUGAACCGCAUGGUUCAAAAGUGAAAGACGGUCUUGCUGUCACUUAUAGAUGGAUCCGCGCUGCAUUAGCUAGUUGGUAAGGUAACGGCUUACCAAGGCAACGAUGCAUAGCCGACCUGAGAGGGGGUUCGGCCCCUCGGAAACUGAAACACGUUCCAGACUCCUACGGAAGGCAUCGGUAGGGACUCUUCCGCAAUGGGCGAAAGCCUGCCGAAGCAACGCCGCGUGAGUGAUGAAGGUCUUCGGAUCGUAAAACUCUGUAUUAGGGAAGAACAUAUGUGUAAGUAACUGUGCACAUCUUGACGGUACCUAAUCAGAAAGCCACGGCUAACUACGUG
rnacentral:rRNA from 1 species